rnacentral:misc_RNA from 1 species
GUCCAGUAGAUUUUUCAGAUUCAUCCUCUAAAUUUUUUUUAUCCACCACUUUUGAUUUUCCCUUUACCUUGGUAUUAGGUUCAUCAACCUCCAUAGAACAGAAAUUACUAACAGAAUCCACCUCGUUUUGUGUCAACGGGUACUUGAGAACAAUUUCAAUAAGUUGGUCGAUCACUUGAGUGAGAUUUGCAGGAAUCUUCUUGUGACUUUUCGAGCAUUUCCCUGACCCAUCAUAAAUUUUAUUUUCA